GUUGUAUGGUUAAGUGACUAAGCGUACACGGUGGAUGCCUUGGCAGUCAGAGGCGAUGAAGGACGUAUUAACUUGCGAUAAGCCCAGAUUAGGCAGUAAAAGCCACUUGAGUCUGGGAUUUCCGAAUGGGGAAACCCAACUGCAUAAGCAGUUACUGUUAACUGAAUACAUAGGUUAACAGGGCGAACCGGGGGAACUGAAACAUCUAAGUACCCCGAGGAAAAGAAAUCAACCGAGAUUCCGAAAGUAGCGGCGAGCGAAAUUGGACUAGCCCUUAAGCUUUAUAUGCGUUAGACGAACGGUCUGGAAAGUCCGGCGAUACAGGGUGAUAGCCCCGUAGUUGACAACGCAC
rnacentral:rRNA from 1 species